rnacentral:lncRNA from 1 species
GAGGAAGCAAACAACAAAUCUGAAUAAGGGUUGGAAUGAGACGCAUAGAGACGGUGAACCCAACCGUGGUUCGACGGCGUCCCUUCGGACUAGAAGGCAGCGCGUAGGAAGCACUCGCCUAAGAUGCAUGACGAAGAGGCUGUGCGUGGGGGCGCGUGAGGUAGUUUUUGCCUUCGAUAUUGCCGGAGUUUGCAGUCGCAUGGAGAGACUCUGAAAUUGUUCCUUCCAAUGCAGGUUACAUAUUUAUCUUUUCUUGUCAACUCUGCAUUGCACUCUGUGUGCAGAUGCUGUCAUGUGCAACACUCUGCUGUUUGGUAUGCUGGAAUUGGAUGUGGGGAUGUGCUUAUUUCACUUCAUUCAGUUUUGAAGCCACUGUUUUUGUGCUUUUCUGAUUGCUAGUGGUUCUGAUUGACCUAAGGCAUGUGCUAGUUUCUAGUAGUCUGCAGGUUGUUUUACUGCAUCAAUGGUUGUGUGAGUCUAGUAGGUGCUCUAUGGUGAUCACGAACCAAAAGCUUCUGUUGCAUGGAGUUCUUGACUAUUGUAUACGGGUUAUCUCUGAAGUGUUCCAUUUUAAUUUUAUUUAUUUUUUGUUGAUAAAAAAAAAAAACUCUGCAUUGCACUAAGAAUCUCUCUAUUUGUACUUUUUUACUUUCUUCAUUUGGAUGAUAAAAUCAUGAAUAUGAUGGAAUGUUGGUUGGAGAGAGUUGGAUGCUAUUUUUAUUCCUGCUACAUAUAAUAACUAUAACAUUCAACUCUAUUCUAAAAUUUGUAUCUAUGUUUAGCAAAUAAAAUUUGUUCCAGAGACUUUUUUUAGAAUGUUCUGAUAUGCUUAUCUGAAGUUAAAACUUUAAUAAUGUUGUGCUUUAAAUAUAAUGUAUGUGCUGAUAUAAGCUUAUCCUAUGAAGAAUUUCCAUUCUUGUUAAUAUGACUGGAAGCAGUCUAAAUUGAUGAGAAGACAUGAUUUGGGAGUAGGAAUGGUUAGACUGCAAUGUUUAUUUUUCAUUAUUGACCAUAUUUAGUUAAGUUUAAGCAACAGGUCUCAGCAUGGGAGGCUGGGGCAACGUAAGAGAUUUAGAUUUUGAGAAGAGGAGAGGUGACAGAAAUCCCUGGAGUACAAUUUCUUAAGUUUUGGACAAUCUUCUAUAUUUAGCUGAGUAAGAGAGAGUGGGAGCAAACUUUCAUCCAAAAACACUCCACAUCCCCUCUCCUUGAAUAGUCAAAAGUUCUACGAAAGGGUUGGUUCCCUAAAUCCCCUUUAGUGAGGCAACAAAUUUAGAGCAAUUGAAGAGACACAUUUCUUUUAGAUUUGAUGGCAAACAUCUGUCCAACAACUCCACUCCUAGACAAUCAUUUAUACACAAAAGAUAAAGAUGGAAGGAGGACAAACAUGCGUUUAGGCAUUGAUUUCAAUUUCUCCAAUCUUUCAUUCGAAAAUGUCUCUAGAUGUAGUGCAAAUAAUCUUUCAUUGGGAAAUGAUUCAAAUUCAGAGCAUACUAUAAUUCAUAGAUACUUGAAAUGAUGAUGAGGGUGCCUGUGUGAUAUCAUUUGUAAGUUACGACACUCCCCUAAUACAAGGUGGCAAAGUUUUGGGAGUAAGUUUAGAUGGAAGUUCGUGAGAGAGUCACAACAUUCAUUGAUAUCCAAUUGUACAAGGAAAUCGUAGCUAUGGUUUAUGGGAAUACUCCUACCCAGACAACAAUAAAUAGUUAACGAUUCAAUAAGAGUAUGAGAUAGGAGGUGCCUAUCAUAUCAAAAUGAAGAUGUCUCCAUCUUCACAUCUUCAAUCUACCCGGGAGUCGACGCCACAAGUUUUUCGCACCCCUAAAUAAUUAGACACCUUAAAUGCUGAAGGUGUUUUGGCAAGUGUCAUUUCAAUUUGGGACAAUCCAACACAACAAGAAGUUGAAGACUUGGAAAAGCACCCGUUAUGCAUUGUCAUUCUUUCCAUUCUUUCAAGGAUACAAAUGCUAAAGAGUUGUUCCCAAAAAAAUCAACAUCUAUCCUCACUAUUUGAUCAAGGCCGUCAAUUUUCAAAUACUUGAGAAAUGCUAAAGUCCAAGGGAAGGCAACCAUUGACUACAUUUACAAUUAUACAAUCUUAAGGACACCAGAUUCAAUAGAAAUUUAUCAGAUAACCAACCUGGAUAUUGUGUGCCACAAUAGUUAAGGAUUGACAACUGCUCCAAAUGUAUGGAAGGUUGUUUAUUCUCUAGUACUUCUCUUUCUUCUAUUGAAUCCUCAUUGUUAUGCUUCAAAUCCCAUUCUAAACUUAGCUCCACAAGAUGUGUUUUAUUUUUCAAAUCCGCUGCCAAAGCAUCACAGGGAUUCAUGAUAUUUUCAAGAUUUUAAUUGACAGCUCUCCAUGAAGAUCAAGUUGUCUUAGUUGUUGAAUACUAAACUCACUACUACUUUUGCCAACCACAAACCCACCCAUCCAUACUUGAAGAUUCUUCAACUUUCCUAAAAGCACUUGAGCCUUUCUUAAAUAAGUUCCCUUACGUUCUAGGUGACGUAACUUAGUGAACUCAUGCAAAGUCCUCGAGGGAAGCUCAUUAAAAAAUUUACAUUUGUUCAGCUUUAACACUUGCAAGUUACAGAGUGAGCACGUUGAGUCUAUAGUGUCAGGCACCUCUAUAAUGGUACCUGAAAGUUCUAAUGAACAAAGAUGUAUCAGAUUGGCUAUAGUGUUAAGCACCUCUUUUAUGUUACCACAAGAAGACAAAGAUAAGAGCGUAAGAACUUAAAGUUGGAGAUCAACUCUUGUAUUGACAUCCCACAAUUACUAGAUAUGGGCAGAAAUGUAUGUACCCUUUUAGUAUCACAUGAACUCCUGUACUCAUCACAUUCAACAACAUUCUUUAAAUUCUAAAAGUGGUGGGUUGUCUUUGUGACACUUCUUGGUCUAUCAACACCCAACCUGUAGCAAAUUUCACCAGAAACAUUUUGUGCUAAAUCAUUCAGAAGGUCAUGCAUCUUAAAACAUGUUUUGUACCCAAUUGACUGUUGAAAGAAUGACAUUGAUAAUGGAUCAUUCAAGUACUCUUCACCUACUUCUUUUGAAGACUUACUCUGCUUAGAGCAUUGUAGAAAAUUUUCAGCCGUCCACAAGAGAUUUAAGUUGUCCUUGUAAAACUCAUGGUCUUAUGGGAAUAACGCACAAUUAAGCUGGACACACGUAUCAGAAAUUGGCACUCCUAUGAUAGGACACGUAUCAGUGAAGUAUCUAAUUCAAAAAAUAUUUGUUAGAUUUCUGACAAUUCUAACACAAUUUUAAAAAGAAAAAAUAUAUAAAUUUUCUAAAAAUUUAAACUUAUUGUAUAAAUUUUUAUUAUGAUUAUAAAAUAAUAAAAAAAUUCUUUUGAACCAACCAUGAAAAGCAUCUUUCUGCUAAAAAAAAAAUCUGAAACAUAGUUGUGCACAUAAAUCUUUAUUGUCAAUUUAUAUAAUUCAUAAUUAUAUAAUAUAUAAAUUUGUGUCCUCGUGUCGUACAUUUUAGAAAUUACACAUAUCUUUGUAUCCAUAUCUGUGUUGUAUCAGUGUCCGUAUCAGUGUCUGUGCUACAUAGGUAAUAACUUAACAAUAAAGCAAGGUUGAUUUUACUAUUUUCUAUCGGUAAGUCCCAUAUGGUACUUCUCAACACAUCUUCCCACUCUGCAACAGAUGACUUUGAUUGUAAAAGAGAUCCUACUGUUUCAAGGGCCAGAGGCAGUUCUUGGCACUUUUUAACUAUCUUCCUACCAAUCUCUUUGAAUUUGAGGAAACAUUAACAAAGGCUCUAGUGAUUUUAGGAAAGUUGAAGAAUCUUCAAGUAUGUAUGGGUGGGUUUGAGGUUGGAAAAAGUAGUGUUCAACAAGUAGGACAACUUGAUCUUCACGGACAACUGUCGAUUACAAAUCUUGAAAAUAUAGUGGAUCCCCGUGACGCAUUACCAGUAGAUUUGUACAAUAAAAUACAUCUUGUGGGGCUAAAUUUAUCAUGGGAUUUUGAAGUGGACAAUGAGGUUUCAAUAAAAACAGGAGAAGUACUUGUGAAACUACAACCUGCACAUGUUAAUUAGCGGGUAUUAAUUGUGUCACACAAUUUCCAGGUUGGUUAUCUGAUAAAUAUCUAUUGAAUAUGAUGUCCUUAAAAUUAUAUAACUGUAAAUAUUGCAUUAGGUUGUCUUUCUUUGGGCUUUGGGAAUUUCUCAAGCACUUGGAAAUUAUCGACCUUGAUCAUGUAGUGAAGAUAUAUGCCGAUUUUUAUGGGAAUAGCUCUUCUGCAUUUGCAUCCUUGGAAAUGUUGACGUUUAGUGGUAUGAAGGAAUGAGAAGAAUGACAAUGCAUGACGGGUGCUUUUCCAAGUCUUAAAAAUCUUUUUAUGUCUAAUUAUCCCCAAUUAAGGAAUGUAUCUAUUCAUACCUGCGAACAACUUGGGGCUUUGACUCCCAGGGUGGUAGAAAUUGAAGGUGAGAAGAUGGAGACAUCUUCAUUUAAUGUAUUAGGGCUCCUUGGAUGUAAUACUUCUUUUGAAGUCUUGUAUAUUAAUUAUUGUCUGAGCAUGAAUAUUCCCAUAAACCAUUGCUACGAUUUCCUUGUAGAAUUGAAUAUCAACCACUCUCUCACGAACUUCCCUUUGGACUUAUUCCCAAAACUCUACGUCCUCUUUUUAGACGAAUGUCAUAACCUACAAAUGAUAUCACAGAGUCACCCUCACGGUCAUUUGAACUGUCUGUCAAUUACAAACUGCUCUGAAUUUGAAUCAUUUCCCAAUGAAGGAUUAUUUGCAAGUUAACUAAAGACAUUUCACAUUGAUGGAUUGGAGAGAUUGAAAUCAAUGCCAAAACGCAUGUCUUCCCUCCUUCCAUCUGUUACUCAUCUGGAGAUAAAUAAUUGUCUAGGAGUGGAGUUGUCUGAUAAAUGUUUGCCAUCAAAACUCAAAGAAACGAGUCUCUUGAAUUGCUCCAAACUUUGUUGCCUCACUAAAGGGGGCUUGGGGAAACAACCUUUCCAUAAAAUCCUUGUCCAUUCAAAAAGUGGAUGUGGAGUGUUUUCCGGGUGAAGAUUUGCUCCCAAGUCUCCUUCCUCAGCUACUCAUAUAUGAUUGUCCAAAUCUUAAGAAACUGGACUACAAGGUCUCUGUCACCUCUCCUCUCUCUUCAGCCAAUGUUUAUUCAAUAUUGUCCUGUACUCCAAUGUUUUUCAAAGGAGGGUCUACCCAAAUCCAUUUCAAAACUCAGCAUUGAUGGCUGCCAUUUGCUUCAUUAGCUAUGCAAGAAACAAGAAGGCGAAGACUGGAACAAGAUUGCUCACAUUAAAGAUCUAUGGGUUGAUGAAAACAAGUAAACAUAAAAGACGAAGCCCAAGUUGGAAAUUACUAUGGCACCAAUUCUCACAUGCCUACAUUUUCAUGAGGUGCCAAUUCUCCACAGUAUCUUUGAAGCAUUUCAAAUACAAUCUUAUUUAGCGCAAAUAUUUUAAUCUCUAGUUCACCACUCUCUUCACGCAUCAACUUCUCCUCUUUUUAAUGUCUUAUUAUCGAUAUUCUGUUUUGAAGUUGAAAGAAUUGUAACCAUUAUUGAAGUGUAUGUUUUUGUAGAUUUAGGUUGAAAGAGAUAUAAAUGAGGAGCUCUGGUGAUUCAACGUUUUAAAAGUAGUUCGGACUAUGGAGAUGAUUCAAUAUCCAUAUGCUGCAAACAGUAUUCUCAGAAGAUUGACAAUGAAUGGUUAUACAGUGUUGUAUUUUAGAGAGUUAAAUCCAGUACAAAUAUAAUGUCAUAUCAAUUCAACUCCUUUUACUUUUCUUCAAUUUCUUACAUUCUCAAAUAGCCAUAUCAUUACCAAUACCAUCCACCCUCCAUUCUCACUACCAUACUGCAAAUGUACAGUUUUUGCUCGAGUGCAAGUGUACCUUGUUGGCUGUGUAAUUAAAGGGACACCUUAAGAUUCAUAAUUCAUAAGAAUAUAGUGUUUAUAGAAUAUACAUAAUUUUAACACAGGAUGAAAGGUGAUAUAUUCUGGAAAACAUUAGAAAAAUAUGCACUAAUAACAGCAUCUACUGAAGAACAUAUCAUAGUUAAGAAAUUGGUUAUAGUAAGGAUGUAUGCUGUACACUAACAUUCGGUAUGUAACUACCAAAUUUUAGGAUGCCUCAAUAAAAACUUGAUCACAUCAGCCUUAUAUAAUUAUCAAGCAAAAAGACACUGCGUAAUGAAGUAAACAUGAUUAGAACUUUAAAAUGUUGAUAAGACAGCAAAAUAAUUAAAAGGUGCUUAACUUUAAACCAAGGUUACACAAGUUGUUACCCCAUUUGUAUGUUGAUCAUAAAACAGAGUUAUGGUUAACAUUGUGCGUGAUUGAUUUAACACUAGCAUAUGAAGCUGUGAAUCAGGAGUUGUGGUGGUACAAGAUUUUAAAAUUGGUUUGGACUUUGGAGAUGAUUCAGAAUCCAUCUCUCUGUAUGUAGGUAUAGGAAAAAGAUGUUUUGAAACUCCUACUUCUACAUAUUUAUAACAACACCAAAAAGAGCACCACCAAGUGUUUCUAGGAUUGUGAAAGUUGGAAGUGCAGCUUAGUGACGUGAAUGAAGGAGUGAGAAAAGGUAAUGGCUAAGAAGCAGUAGCUGUUGAUUAUUCACGACAGGAACAUGUGGGAUUCAUAAUAUUUUCUACCAACUUCAUUGAAUUGAUCUAUUAUGUGUUUAGAAAAUUGUAGAAUUAAAUUUACAAUUACAAUUUUGUAAAAAAGAAAGUUAUAUUUUUGCAGUAGCUACUUGAAUGCAUUUAGUGAGUUUGGAUGGCUAACUGAUGAAUAAAAUAAAACUGCAAUGGUUGAGCAUCUUCCUUAAUUUCAGGCAUGACAUCAGAACGUGGCAUAGAAAACUGUGAUCACAGCUGUUUCUUAAAUGUAACAUGUUUCUGUAUAUUUAUCUGGUUUGGAUCAAUCCUAUUUAAUAAUGUUGUAGCCAUGUAUUUACUGCCAGGGCUUUUAUUAAUUAGUGUUUCUACUUUUGGUCCUCUGCUGCGGAUAUUGCUGGAUAUGAAGAUUGCUGGAUGAUACUUUUUGUAGGAUAGCAGAUAGAAACCUAUUUGGAGGCUUUAUUUGUUAUCUUUUCUUUUUGGAUUAUGUAACAAUCCUUUUAUUCUUUUUCCAUUUAUUCAUUAUUACUGAUAAAAAAUAUGUGAUUGGAUCAUGUUUCCUUCAUCACACUUUAUUACUCGCAUGAAACUUUAUUAGCCUAUGC